GGAUGAAGAACGUAGCGAAAUGCGAUACUUGGUGUGAAUUGCAGAAUCCCGUGAACCAUCGAGUCUUUGAACGCAAGUUGCGCCCGAAGCCAUUAGGCCGAGGGCACGCCUGCCUGGGCGUCACACGUCGUUGCCCCCCCAUCUACUCCUUCGGGAUUGCGGGGGGCGGAUGAUGGCCUCCCGUGCGCCUCGUCGCGCGGUUGGCAUAAAUGCCAAGUCCUCGGCGACGCACGCCACGACAAUCGGUGGUUGCGAAACCUCGGUUGCCCGUCGUGUGCGGUCGUCGCGCAUCGAGGGCUCGAAAAAAUUGCCGGGCUCCGGCUCGGCUUUCAACGCGACCCCAGGACAGGCGGGGUUACCCGCUGAAUUUAAGCAUAUCAAUAAGCGGAGGA
rnacentral:misc_RNA from 1 species